GUGGAAUUUGAUAGUUGGACGUGGCUGUGACAUUCUGUUGCUGCAAUUGCUGCUGCAGCUGCACAACAGGUUGCUGUUGUUGUUGAGAGGAAAGAGAAGGCGAUGUGGAGAUGCAAUUUUUGGAUCUUGAGGUAAAUUCGACAUGCUGGAUGUUGGUGUUUGUGCUUGUGGUUGUGGUGGUGUUAGAGCUACGGUGUUGGAGUUCGAAUUUGUUAACGCCG
rnacentral:misc_RNA from 1 species